CUAUAUUUUCAGCUUGAAGCUACUUCUAGCCAUAAAUUCAAGAACAUUAAGUCACCAGCUUCCGUGACAGCCCUGAGCCACCACUGAACUUCUCCAGCCACUUCACGUGAUGCUGCAGUCAGUACCUGGCAGCUUGGAGAACUAUUGCAAGGCAAGAUGAAGAGCCAGAGUUACCUGUCAAAAGAAUCCUAGAGAAUAAUUUAGCAUGGAAAAUGGAAAGAGGGAUGAUUCUGAAACUCAGGAAAAGAUAGAGACACGCAUAAGGCCAAGAGGCUGAGGAAGGGCAGCCGCCCUAAAGGAGAAUGAGG
rnacentral:lncRNA from 1 species